CCUGCGCGCCUUGCUUCAGGUGCCCCGAGUUGCCGUGAAUGGCGGCCAAGGGGUGAAACAGGGAAGCCGGUUCCAAUGCCGGCGCUGCCCCCGCAACGGUAGGUGAGUCAAACGUCGCUCAAGCAGACCGUGUGAAAACGUAGCGAGCGAAGGUCAGGCAAGGCCGAUGGCGGCCUCGCAAAAACAGGCGAA
rnacentral:ncRNA from 2 species